rnacentral:rRNA from 1 species
GAUGAACGCUAGCGGCAGGCUUAAUACAUGCAAGUCGAACGGGAUUCGGGGUAGCAAUACUUUGAUGAGAGUGGCGCACGGGUGCGUAACGCGUAUGCAACCUACCUUUAACAGGGGAAUAGCCCCGAGAAAUCGGGAUUAAUACUCCGUAACAUUGCGGUGUGGCAUCACACUGCACUUAAAGCUGAGGCGGUUAAAGAUGGGCAUGCGUGACAUUAGCUAGUUGGUGAGGUAACGGCUCACCAAGGCAACGAUGUCUAGGGGUCCUGAGAGGGUUAUCCCCCACACUGGUACUGAGACACGGACCAGACUCCUACGGGAGGCAGCAGUAAGGAAUAUUGGUCAAUGGGCGCAAGCCUGAACCAGCCAUGCCGCGUGCAGGAAGACGGCCCUAUGGGUUGUAAACUUCUUUUAUACGGGAAUAAAGUGCCCCACGCGUGGGGUUUUGCAUGUACCGUAUGAAUAAGGAUCGGCUAA